UAUAAUUCCCCAAUAAAGAGCAGCCUCUGCUUAGUGUUUGUCAGUCACGUUUUAUGCUGCCGAUUUUGUGACCACGACAUGUUCCUGUGGCAAAAUUGUUGUAGCUUUAAGAUGCACGGCACGUUGUGAUGCAGCUAUUCAUUUGUCAUCGGCUUGCGCCGCUUUGUAUUUGGCUUGUGGCUUAUGGCAGCUGGUGCUUUAGAAGUCGUUGCUUUGCUUAGCAGCUGUGUGAAGUUGUUUUUAUUUUCCAAUUCUGCAACUGUUCCCAUUGGCUUGGAUGUAGCUCAUGUUUGUCAUGGAUAAUGGUGUGUGUUUGUAAAAUGUGACAAGAAUGGUGAGACCUUGGUUUAUGAAAAUUGGGUGUUUGGUUAUAAAAUGGAUAUGGAUGUGAUGCAUUGUUAUGCUUGAAUGUUAAAUGAAAAUGUAUGUAUGAAAAUGAGUUUGGAAAUGUUUGAAAGUUAAAUAUUACUGAAUGUUAUGAAA